CUAGGCCACGGGCCUGACCCAGUUUCGCGGCGCCGCGCGCCAAGCCCGGGGAGGAGCCCGAUGUGCGGGGAGCGGGACAGCCGCGUGACUCUGACGGCCGCCGCCGCCGCCCCGCGCCCGGGAUCUGCAGUCGCACCGGAUCCGAGGCCGUUUCUGACCUUUGCCUGCGCCGUGACUCAUCUCCGCGCGGAGAAGAAAGGGGCCUUUGUGGGCUCCCCGCGCGGGCCUUGGCCGGCCGUGUCCUGGGCAGCACUGCCCCCCGGUGGCCGGGAGCGCGGUGGAGGGCGCGGGAGGCGGCCCUGGGGGCGCGCGCCCGACCCCACCCCUGGUGCUGGCCCGCGUCCUGGGGCCCGAGUCCGUCCGGGGAAAGCGGGAAGAGCACUCACCAUCUCCCCGAGGCCCGGGUCUUGGCCCGGGGGGAAGCCUCCACAACGGAGGGAAUGGUUUCUCCCGCCCCUGGGAACGGUGAGCUCGGGCACCCCGGAUGCCGGCUCCCUGGAGGCCUGGCCCAGAUUGGGGGAAGGCCACGGGACAUUGCCCCCCGCACCCGCACCUCCGGAAACAGGGAACGCCUUUUCUGCCCAAAGCCUGGGCUCUGUUCCUCUUCCCCUGGCUGCACAACCACGUGACUGCCGCAUUUUAAAAAUAGACGCAAACAGCUACCCUUCCCCUUUUGUAGCGGAUGCUGCCAUGCCUGUUUGCCCUGGGCCACCUGGAGUCAACUGCUGAUGAUGACAGUACAUUAUGAAGGUGACUUCUCGCAUCUCUGCCUUGGGACAUUCCUUGGAUGCAAAGCCCACACCUGGGGGGCGCGGGGGGUGCAGCUCCAAAGUGCCAAGGAUGUGCCGAUACCACAGUGGCUGUGACCUCCACCAAGCAAGAGGGGCCAGUAUUGGGGUGCAGAUGUCUGUGGCUGUCUUGCCAGGUCUUGGGAUCAAGCCACGUGGCCCACUUGAGGGCUGACGAGGAGGGGUGCAUGGGGAGCCUUAUAAAACCAGCCUGGACCAUCCUUUCCAGCACCUACCAGAGUCUAACCGAUCCCAAGGAAGAAGCAAACAGCCCCAUGACGUUUUACAGAGGUCAGAGAAUGUGGCUCCAGACUCCAGAAGAAGCUAAGGCUGGAUGUCACCACAGAGCAGCUGGGGCCUGAGGAGGAUGCCACACGGUAUAUGGAACCUCCCAGGAAAGGCCAGGAGGGACAGACGGUGCAUGUGCAGCCCCUCCUCUGGAUUCAGGCCUUCCAUCCGCUGAGGCCUGGGAUCUUCUCCCUGUUUCCAGACACCUCCAAAACGCAAGAAAUAGAACUUUCUUUGUUUUUUGUAUCGGUGCCUCAUUUUUGACUUCUAGUCCCUUUUUGCAUCAGGUUGGUGGAAAAAUAUAUAUACCCUCUUGCAGGAGUUAUGUCGUAUUUCUGAGGUCUUAAUGCAAUGCUGUGGGUUAGGAGCAUGGUAUUGUGGUCCUCAUUCAACUGUCCCCAAGUCACAUCUGAGGCUGUCCUUGCAUGGGCCACAGGGACCCCAUAGGUCCCAUGUUUCCCUGUUUGUCAUGGUCACCGUCAUGGCUUAGAUGCAUCCCCAACCCAUUCGCCCUAGGCUUCUGCUGCCCCCCCUCCCUUAGAGCUCCUCUGGGGCCCACAGAUCUCUUGCCCACUCUCAUUCUUCUUCAUGCCAGGAGACCCUGCUUCUGGUUCUAGAGGUAGGGGGAUGGUCUCCUCUCUCCGCUGCUUCUGGCCAAGAUGCCUUGAACGCUUUUCUUUCACCCCUUUAUCACCUACAGAAACCACCUCAGUUCUCUUGAGGGCUUAGGCUCUUCAAAGAGCUUCAUUUUUUAAACAUUUUUAAUUUAAAAAAUUUGGGGGGCCUGGGUGGCUCAGU